rnacentral:rRNA from 1 species
AAUAUUGCACAAUGGGGGAAACCCUGAUGCAGCGACGCCGCGUGAGCGAAGAAGGNCUNNGGGUCNUNAAGCACUGUCCUAAGNNNNNAAACGGACGGUACCUUAGGAGUAAGCCCCGGCUAACUACGGUCCAGCAGCCGCGGUAAUACGUAGGGGGCGAGCGUUAUCCGGAAUUACUGGGCGUAAAGGGUGCGUAGGCGACCUUUUAAGUCAGAUGUGAAAGGCUAAGGCUUAACCGUAGUUAGCAUGUGAAACUAAAAGGCUUGAGUGCGGGGGAGGGGAGUGGAAUUCCUAGUGUAGCGGUGAAAUGCGUAGAUAUUAGGAGGAACACCAGUGGCGAAGGCGACUCUAUGGAAUGCAACUGAAGCUGAGGCACGAAAGCGUGGGGAGCGAACA